UAUUUGUCAUACCACAGGGGUCUGGAAUCGUUUAUAUAAGUCAAACAUAUAUGUAAUCAAAUAUAACAGCUUUUGUUUUGAAAAGAUGAAUUUAUUUUCUCUAUAAGUUCAUCUAUCUGAAAAGCUGAUCAUUACACUUAUUUGAAAAGUUGACCUUACUGAAACAGUACGUACAUACAAUGAAUCAAAUCAAGUAUAAUUGUCAAUUAAAAUACAUGUAAAAAGAAAAAACGGACAACAGGCAAGAAUUAACAAUCCCAUUAAAAUCAUAUCUUAACUGACUUUCACUACGGAAGCGUAAACGGUAAUAUAAUUUUAAGAGCUUGGAGAUCGAAAACCAGUAGGCCUGAAAAUAGAAUUCGUGAAAUGAGCAAAGAAAUCAUCGACAGAUAACAAUUAUUGUUCUUUUAGUAAAAUUCUGUAAAAUACGUAAUGGGCAAAGGAAAAACGUUGCAUUACUCGUGUUAACUUACAUUUUAUUUAAUCUUUUAUUCUUUCUUUAAUUUUGAUGAUUUUCCACAAAAUCCUGUGGUCAUUGAAGCUUCUUUCAUAUUAAUGUGUUACACAAUUAAUAUUGGACUUACACGUUAAUAUUGGACACCUACGUGUACUGUAUUAAAAAUACAGUACGGUCAGAACAAAGGAAUGACGUCACAGAAGUAAUUUAAGUAAGAUAUAAGCCUCAAACUGACCAAUAAGUAAAAUAUUGAAUUCCCCUCGGCGCUACGCGCCUCAUGAAAUUCAGUAUUUGACAUAUUGGACAGUUUUCGGCUUAUAUCUACUACAUAUAUUAGUUACUUUCGUCUUGUCGCUAGUGAAGCACGCCAAACGGCGCGUUGUCGUGCGGCGUGUUGUCGCGAUGUCGCUCAAAUCAAAGGAUUGGCUUACAAGCCAAGCGACAAGACGACAGUGCGACAACGCGCCGUUUGAUGCAUUCCGCUAGCGACAAGACGAAAAGACGAUAACGAUAAACGUUGUGUUGUCGCUAUCGACAACGCAACGCGCAAAGUGUACCAACUCAGCCACCAUACAUAAUAAGCUAUAUCAUUCUCGUAUAUGAAAUACAUGGAAAAAUAUAUAAAAUAAUGAUUAUUAAUAAUUCAAAAAAAUAUAAAAAAAUCAAUAAAUUAAAAAGUAAAACAAAAAUAGAAUAAUUUAAUUCAAAGGGCUAAUAAAAGUUUCACCAAUUGUGGGAUUUGAGCUUACGACCUUCCGCAUGCGAAACAAGGACCUUAAUCACUACUCUAACAGGCCAUAUGUUUUUUCUGUUCGUGCAUUUUCGUAUAUGGCUUUAUCCUGCCACCCCUAUGUACUUAUAAAUUAAGAUUUCCCAUUCUCGAUCAUAAUUAUUUGAAUGCCGGAUUCCGAUGAUUGCCGAUAAAAGGUCAUUGAAUAUUCAAAUGUCUCAGGCCAAUAUUGGCCAACAAUAUUUCAAUACUGAAAAGGUCAGAGUUGAGAAGCACGGCGGAAAAUGCCGAAUUUUCCGCUUCACAGAUUACAGACCACGUGAUCAUUUGAGCUAACAGUUCAUUUUUGGUGGGAAACUCGCGCCGAGAAGACGUUCUUUGUUAAUAGAGUAAGUGUGAUAAUAUUUUACAACUUUUGUAUUUGAUCGUUUAUAUUGUUCUUUAUGUAUGCUAUUUUUCCAUGUACUCGCGAUUUAUAAAAUAUCUUUAAAUAUGUAUGUUAUGAGUUGAGUUGAAGUGAUUGUUGAUGGUUGUUAUAAAAUGUGAUUUGGCCAGACUACGUGAUGUGCCCACGGUUUUUUGAUAUACUCGCGAUUUAUAAAAAAACUUUAUGUAAGUUAUUCCUGUACCCCCUGUAGUUGGUAAUGUGUCGAGUUGAAGUUAUUGUUGAUGGUUGUUAUAAAAUGUGAUUCUGGCCAGGCUACGUGAUAUGACUGCGUUUUUUUGUUGAUAUACUCGCGAUUUAUAAAUUUUUUUUAUGUAAGUUAAUCCUGUACCCCCUGUAGUUGGUUAUGUGUUGAGUUGAAGUUAUUGUUGAUGGUUUGUUAUAAAAUUUGAUUUGGCCAGACUACGUGAUGCGCCUGCGGUUUUCUUUAUAUACUCGCGAUUUUUUAAAAAAAAAAAAAUCUUUAUAUAAUUAUGUUAUCCCUGUAGUUAGUAAUGUGUUGAGUAGAAGUUAUUGUUGAUGAUUAUUAUAAAAUGGGAUUUUGGCCAGACUACGUGAUGCGCCCGCGGUUUUCUUUUUAUAUACUCGCGAUUUUAAAAAAAAAUCUUUAUAUAAUUAUGUUAUCCCUGUAGUUAGUAAUGUGUUGAGUAGAAGUUAUUGUUGAUGAUUAUUAUAAAAUGGGAUUUUGGCCAGACUACGUGAUGCGCCCGGUUUUUUGAUAAUUUUAUACUCGCGAUUUAUAAAAAAGUCUUUAUAUAUGUUAUUCCUGUAGUUAGUAUUGUGUUGAGUUGAAGUUAGUGUUGAUGGUUGUUGUUAUAAAAUGUGAUUUUAGCCAAACUAUGUGAUGCGCCCGCGUUUUUUUUUGAUAUACUCACGAUUUAUAAAAAAAUCUUUAUAUAUGUUCUUAUGAGUUGAGUUGAAGUCAUUGUUGAUGGUUGUUAUAAAAUGUGAUUUUGGCCAGACUACGUGAUGCGCGCGCGUUUUUUUGAUAUACUUACGAUUUACAAAAAAAAUCUUUAUAUACGUUAUCCCUGAACCCCUGUAGUUAUGUUUUGAGUUGAAGUUAUUGUUGAUGGUUGUUGUAAUAAAAUGUGAUUCUGGCCAGGCUACGUGAUCCGCCCAUGGUUUUUUGAUAUACUCGCGAUUUAUAAAAAAUCUUUAUGUAAGUUAUCCCUGUACCCCCUGUAGUUAGUAAUGUGUUGAGUUGAAGUGAUUGUUGAGGGUUGUUGUUAUAAAAUGUGAUUCUGGCCAGGCAACGUGAUCCGCCCGCGUUUUUUUUUAUAUACUCGCGAUUUAUAAAAAAAAUCUUUAUGUAAGUUAUCCCUGUAGUAAGUAAUGUGUUGAGUUGAAGUGAUUGUUGAUGGUUGUUGUUAUAAAAUGUGAUUCUGGCCAGGCAACGUGAUCCGCCCGCGUUUUUUUUUAUAUACUCGCGAUUUAUAAAAAAAAUCUUUAUGUAAGUUAUCCCUGUAGUAAGUAAUGUGUUGAGUUUAAGUGAUUGUUGAUGGUUGUUGUUAUAAAAUGUGAUUCUGGCCAGACUACGUGAUGCGCCCGCAGUUUUUUGAUAUACUCGCGAUUUAUAAAAAAAAAUAUGUAAGUUAUCCCUGUACCCCCUGUAGUUAGUAAUGUGUUGAGUUGAAGUGAUUGUUGAUGGUUGUUGUUAUAAAAUGUGAUUCUGGGCAGACUACGUGAUGUGCCCACGGUUUUUUGAUAUACUCGCGAUUUAUAAAAAAUCUUUAUAUACGUUAUCCCUGAACCCCUGUAGUUAUGUGUUGAGUUGAAGUUAUUGUUGAUGGUUGUUGUUAUAAAAUGUGAUUUUGGCCAGACUACGUGAUGCGCGCGCGUUUUUUUUAUAUGCUUACGAUUUACAAAAAAAAAAUCUUAAUAUACGUUAUCCCUGAACCCCUGUAGAGUUAUGUUUUGAGUUGAAGUUAUUGUUGAUGGUUGUUGUAAUAAAAUGUGAUUCUGGCCAGGCUACGUGAUCCGCCCGCGGUUUUUUUUAUAUAUACUCGCGAUUUAUAAAAAAUCUUUAUGUAAGUUAUCCCUGUAUUUAGUAAUGUGUUGAGUUGAAGUUAUUGUUGAUGGUUGUUAUAAAAUGUGAUUCUGGCCAGGCUACGUGAUGCGCCCGCAGUUUUUUGAUAUACUUAUACUCGCGUAUUGUAUUUGACUUGUGUUUUUAGAAUUUGUGUACUAUGAUUAUGUUUGAUAUGUUUAAUUAUGUAUUUGUUUGCUCUAAUACCUAUAUUUUUGUAUUGCAGAUCUAUUUGCCAGGUUCUUUAAAUGUUUUUUUUGCCUAUAUUUUAAUGUUUUGUGUUUUUUUGUCUUUUUGAAAACCACCUGGAAAGAAGAUGUUGGUGUUCUAGUUCUACAUUGUGGCGAAGACGUGAGGAUGUGGAUAGAUGUGUAUCAUUGGUUGGAAACUGGCAUGAUGGAGAAAUUAGACCAUGGAGGAGUGAAGAAGUGGAAGUGGACAAGACUAUCAGUUCUUCGAGAGUUCCAGUGCCUAUAUACUCGCAAGAAGGAUAUGGUAUGGAAUAGCUUAAAGUACAUCUAUGUGCUGGCAGAUUUGUACAACAAGAAGUUGUUCCAGUGUGAGGAGAGAUGCUUGACAUAAGACCAUGGAGGAGUGAUGAAGUGGAAGUGGACAAGACUAUCAGUUCUUCGAGAGUUCCAGUGCCUAUAUACUCGCAAGAAGGAUAUGGUAUGGAAUAGCUUAAAGUACAUCUAUGUGCUGGCAGAUUUGUACAACAAGAAGUUGUUCCAGUGUGAGGAGAGAUGCUUGACAUAAGACCAUGGAGGAGUGAUGAAGUGGAAGUGGACAAGACUAUCAGUUCUUCGAGAGUUCCAGUGCCUAUAUACUCGCAAGAAGGAUAUGGUAUGGAAUAGCUUAAAGUACAUCUAUGUGCUGGCAGAUUUGUACAACAAGAAGUUGUUCCAGUGUGAGGAGAGAUGCUUGUCAUAAGAAUAUGGAUGGUUGUGUAACAGUGGUGAAGUGUUUGUUGAUCGAGACUAUCAAUUAUUCAUCUGUGCUGGUAGAUUUGUACAUUUGGAAGUUGUUUCAGUGUGGAGAGAGAUGGACACGGUGUAUUGUACGGUAAACCUUGCUCUUUGAUUUCAUUGGUAAAUCUAUUUUAGCUAGUCUACAACUAGGUAAAGCUGGAACGUCGCCAUAUGACCUAUACUGUGUCGGAACGUCGUCAUAUGACCUAUACUGUGUUACAACGUCGCCAUAUGACCUAUACUGUGUCGGUGUGACGUAAAGCCCAUUCAAACAAACAAACAAAACCUGCCCUUGUCUGUCCGUUUUGGGAAAUAUUUUUUCUGCCAAUAAAGGUGGGGAGAUGCCAUAUGACUUAAGAACCAACAAAACAAAUGUGAUUUGUUUAGUUAAAAAGACUUUGUUCAACAAAUAUGAUUGGAAUGUUGUUUUGUUAACCCCAGUGAAAUUUCAGUUAAUCUUAAGACCAAGGAGGCAGAUUUGCAAGAAUGGCAUGAAACAUGGUGAUGAUGGAUGGACGUGUGGAUCGUUAAAGCCCAACAGUGACAGAGUAUUGGAGUACUUGACGUGCAUUGUGAAAGUUGAUUGAGACUAUCAAUUCUUCGAGAGUCCCAGUGCCUAUAUACUCGCAAGAAGGAUAUGGUAUGAAAUACAGCUUGGUACACAUCUGUGCUGGUAGAUUUGUACAUUUGGAAGUUGUUUCAGUGUGGAGAGAGAUGGACACGGUGUAUUGUACGGUAAACCUUGCUCUUUGAUUUCAUUGGUAAAUCUAUUUUAGCUAGUCUACAACUAGGUAAAGCUAGUCUAUAACUAGGUAAAGCUGGAACGUCGCCAUAUGACCUAUACUGUGUCGGAACGUCGCCAUAUGACCUAUACUGUGUAUAUGACCUAUACUGUGUCGGUGUGACGUAAAGUCCAUUCAAACAAACAAACAAAACCUGCCCUUGUCUGUCCGUUUAGGGAAAUAUUUUUUCUGCCAAUAAAGGUGGGGAGAUGUCAUAUGACUUAAGAACCAACAAAACAAAUGUGAUUUGUUUAGUUAAAAAGACUUUGUUCAACAUAUCAUAUAUGAUUUGAAUGUUUUUUGUUAACCCCAGUGAAAUUUCAGUUAAUCUUAAGACCAAGGAGGCAGAUUUGCAAGAAUGGCAUGAAACAUGGUGAUGAUGGAUGGACGUGUGGAUCGUUAAAGCCCAACAGUGACAGAGUAUUGGAGUACUUGACGUGCAUUGUGAAAGUUGAUCGAUACUAUCAAUUCUUCGAGAGUCCCAGUGCCUAUAUACUCGCAAGAAGGAUAUGGUAUGAAAUACAGCUUGGUACACAUCUGUGCUGGUAGAUUUGUACAUUUGGAAGUUGUUUCAGUGUGGAGAGAGAUGGACACGGUGUAUUGUACGUUAAUCUUAAGACCAAGGAGGCAAAUUUGCAAGAAUGGCAUGAAACAUGGUGUUGAUGGAUGGAUGUGUGGAUGAGAUUGGAAUGUUGUUUUGUUAAGGCAAGGCAAGUACAGAACAGAAAGGUAAAAUUAUUUAAAAAAUGUUAUAUUGUAUUUAUAAUAGAGGAAUGAUAUUAUGAACAACAUACUAUGUUAGAUGAAAUUGAAAUUGUGUAUAUGAAAGUUAAGAGUAAACAUUAUUGAAAGUAACAUUGUGAAUUGUGAAAUGAUCCCUGGUGGAUGACAUGAAGUCAUUAAUGAAAACUGGACAUGGAAGUUUACUGCAGUGAAAAUUAGUGAAAAAUGAAAUGGAAAGUAUCUGUUGAAAUAUGAAAGAAGUGAAUUGAAUCAGCAAUAGGAAAAUACGAAAAGUGAAAGUGAAAAUGAAUGAAAAUAAAUUGAAAAAGGAAGUAAUGCAUGAAAAUUUGAAUUUUUAAAAAAAUUGAGAACAAUAAUGUAAAUAAUAUAGAUAUUAUGAAGAGUUGAAUGAAGAAAUUUGAAAGUGAAAAUAUAAAGAUAGUGAAAAAUGGAAAGUAUCUGUUGAAAUAUGAAUGAAAUAUAAAUGAAGAGCACAAGAGAUCAGCAAUAACAAAAGGAAAUGUGAAAGUGAAAAAUGAAUGAAAAUAAAUUGAAAAAGGAGGAAUGCAUGGAAAUUUGAAUUUUCAAAAUAUUGAAUCGGCUUCAAAGAAAUGAAAAAGGAGAACAAUAAUAUAGGAAUUUAUGAAUGAAAUUUGAAAGUGAAAUGAGUUCAUAACGAAAUAAAAAAUGAAUGAAUAAUGUAAUGGAAGAUAAUUUGGUGGUGCAAAGAUCAGACAUGUGAAAAUAUAAAUGAAAUAGAUUUGAAACAAUUGGCUUUUCUUGACUGUAGAAAGUCAAUGAUUGUUGAUUGUCUGCUCCUCCCAUUCAUAGUUCUACCAUGAUGUGGAAGUGCAGACAAUGCAGUUAUUCUAAUUGAUUUUUUUUCUAUUUCAGCUCAAUUUUAUAUUGACCUUUGACUUGACCUUAAUCAAUCUGCAAGUCCUUACCAACCUGACCACCUCAUUUGAUGAUCAUAAGCCAUGGCUUUUCCUAGUUGACCAAUCAACUUUUUUAACUACUUGGCAUAA